rnacentral:rRNA from 1 species
UAGCGGAGGAAAAGAAACUAACAAGGAUUCCCCUAGUAACGGCGAGUGAAGCGGGAAGAGCUCAAAUUUGAAAUCUGGUAGCCUUCGGUUGCCCGAGUUGUAAUCUAGAGAAGUGUUUUCCGUGCCGGCCCAUGUACAAGUCCCUUGGAACAGGGCGUCAUAGAGGGUGAGAAUCCCGUCCUUGACAUGGACCCCCGGUGCUUUGUGAUACACUUUCAACGAGUCGAGUUGUUUGGGAAUGCAGCUCAAAAUGGGUGGUGAAUUCCAUCUAAAGCUAAAUAUUGGCGAGAGACCGAUAGCGAACAAGUACCGUGAGGGAAAGAUGAAAAGCACUUUGGAAAGAGAGUUAAACAGUACGUGAAAUUGUUGAAAGGGAAACGAUUGAAGUCAGUCAUGCUCUUUGGUUUAAGCCGUUCUGCGGUGUAUAUCAUUGAGUGGGGUCAACAUCAGUUUUGAUCGAUGGAUAAAGGCACUAGGAAGGUAGCACUCUCGGGUGAACUUAUAGCCUGGCGUCAUAUACAUUGAUUGGGACUGAGGAACGCAGCAUGCCUUCGGGCCGGGAUUCGUCCACGUACAUGCUUAGGAUGUUGACAUAAUGGCUUUAAACGACCCGUCUUGA